rnacentral:rRNA from 1 species
UACGUAGGGGGCUAGCGUUGUCCGGAAUCAUUGGGCGUAAAGCGCGUGUAGGCGGCCCGGUAAGUCCGCUGUGAAAGUCGGGGGCUCAACCCUCGAAAGCCGGUGGAUACUGUCGGGCUCGAGUACGGAAGAGGCGAGUGGAAUUCCUGGUGUAGCGGUGAAAUGCGCAGAUAUCAGGAGGAACACCAAUUGCGAAGGCAGCUCGCUGGGACGUUACUGACGCUGAGACGCGAAAGCGUGGGGAGCGAACAGG